rnacentral:rRNA from 1 species
GUGACAGCCGCCGCGGUAAUACGGAGGAUCCGAGCGUUAUCCGGAUUUACUGGGUUUAAAGGGUGCGUAGGCGGGCGCCUAAGUCAGCGGUGAAAGGCUGCGGCUCAACCGUAGGAUGGCCGUUGAUACUGGGCGCCUUGGAUUCGGUCGAGGCGGGUGGAAUGCGCGGUGUAGCGGUGAAAUGCUUAGAUAUCGCGCAGAACGCCGAUUGCGAAGGCAGCUCGCCAGGCCGAGAUUGACGCUGAGGCACGACAGCGUGGGGAUCGAACAGGAUUAGAAACCCGUGUAGUCC